CAGUAGUCAUACGCUCGUCUCAAAGAUUAAGCCACGCACGUCUAAGUAUAAAUGGAUUAUACAGUGAAACUCGCGAAUGGCUCAUUAAAUCAGUUAUAGUUUAUUUGAUAAUACCUUUUACUUGGAUAACCGUAAUAAUUUUAGAGCUAAUACAUGCGUGAAAGUGCGACUUUUGUGGAAGCACUGUAUUUAUUAGAUACAAAACCAAUCGAGCUUGCUCGUUACCUUGGUGAUUCAUAAUAACUAAACGAAUCGUAUGACUUUAUGUCGACGAUGAUUCAUUCAAAUUUCUGCCCUAUCAACUUUCGAUGGUAAGGUAUUGGCUUACCAUGGUUACAACGGGUGACGGAGAAUUAGGGUUCGAUUCCGGAGAGGGAGCCUGAGAAACGGCUACCACUUCUACGGAGGGCAGCAGGCGCGCAAAUUACCCAAUCCUGACUCAGGGAGGUAGUGACGAAUAAUAACGAUACGUGACUUCGGUCUAGUAAUUGGAAUGAGUACAAUUUAAACCCCUUAAUGAAUUCCAUUGGAGGGC
rnacentral:rRNA from 1 species